rnacentral:piRNA from 1 species
UAGUAUGUUUUAACAGAGGACCAGUUGCCC